GAUGGCUUACCAUGCAAGUCGAGGGGUAACAGAUCUUCGGAUGCUGACGACCGGCGAACGGGUGAGUAACACGUAUGCAACUUACCCAUAACUCGGGAAUAGCCCAAAGAAAUUUGGAUUAAUACCCAAUAAUACAGGCGUACCGCAUGGUAUUCUUCGUUAAAGAAUAAUCGGUUAUGGAUAGGCAUGCGUUCUAUUAGGUAGUUGGUGAGGUAACGGCUCACCAAGCCGACGAUGGAUAGGGGAACUGAGAGGUUGUCCCCCCACACUGGUACUGAGACACGGACCAGACUCCUACGGGAGGCAGCAGUGAGGAAUAUUGGUCAAUGGACGAAAGUCUGAACCAGCCAAAUCGCGUGAAGGAAGAAGGUAUUAUGUAUCGUAAACUUCUUUUGUAAGAGAGUAAAGUGCACUACGUGUAGUGUAUUGCAAGUACCUUACGAAUAAGCAUCGGCUAAUUCCGUGCCAGCAGCCGCGGUAAUACGGAAGAUGCAAGUGUUAUCCGGAUUUAUUGGGUUUAAAGGGUGCGUAGGUGGUCUAAUAAGUCAGUGGUGAAAUCUCUUUGCUUAACAAGGAAAUUGCCAUUGAAACUGUUAGACUUGAGAAUGGACGAGGUAGGCGGAAUUCGUAGUGUAGCGGUGAAAUGCAUAGAUAUUACGAAGAACUCCAAUAGUGUAGACUGCUUACCAGACCAUAUCUGACACUAAAUGCACGAAAGUGUGGGUAUCACACAGGAUUAGAUACCCUGGUAGUCCACACAGUAAACGAUGAAUACUAACUGUUUGCGAUAUCAGCCAGUGGUCUAGCGACAGCGUUAAUACUCCACCUGGGAAGUAUGCCGGAUACGGUGAAACUCAAAGGAUUGACGGGGGCCGCACAAGCCGAGGAACAUGUGGAUCAUUCCAUAAUAUGCGAGGAACCUUACCAGGCUCAGACGAUAUUGAU
rnacentral:rRNA from 1 species